UUUUUUUUAGCUUAAUUUUAGAGCAUUAGUUUGAAGGACUAGGGGUACUGUUUCGGUGGGAAGGU
rnacentral:tRNA from 1 species